rnacentral:rRNA from 1 species
AAGUGGAUUAGCGGCGGACGGGUGAGUAACACGUGAGUAACCUGCCUUAGACAUUGGGAUAACCUCGGGAAACCGGGAUUAAUACCAAAUAAAAUCAUAAUGACACAUGUCAUAACGAUCAAAACUCCGGUGGUCUAAGAUGGACUCGCGUCCCAUUAGCUAGUUGGUAGAGUAAAAGCCUACCAAGGCGACGAUGGGUAGCCGGCCUGAGAGGGUGAACGGCCACAUUGGAACUGAGAAACGGUCCAA